rnacentral:rRNA from 1 species
GUCGAGCGAACAGACGAGGAGCUUGCUCCUCUGACGUUAGCGGCGGACGGGUGAGUAACACGUGGAUAACCUACCUAUAAGACUGGGAUAACUUCGGGAAACCGGAGCUAAUACCGGAUAAUAUAUUGAACCGCAUGGUUCAAUAGUGAAAGACGGUUUUGCUGUCACUUAUAGAUGGAUCCGCGCCGCAUUAGCUAGUUGGUAAGGUAACGGCUUACCAAGGCAACGAUGCGUAGCCGACCUGAGAGGGUGAUCGGCCACACUGGAACUGAGACACGGUCCAGACUCCUACGGGAGGCAGCAGUAGGGAAUCUUCCGCAAUGGGCGAAAGCCUGACGGAGCAACGCCGCGUGAGUGAUGAAGGUUUUCGGAUCGUAAAACUCUGUUAUUAGGGAAGAACAAAUGUGUAAGUAACUAUGCACGUCUUGACGGUACCUAAUCAGAAAGCCACGGCUAACUACGUGCCAGCAGCCGCGGUAAUACGUAGGUGGCAAGCGUUAUCCGGAAUUAUUGGGCGUAAAGCGCGCGUAGGCGGUUUUUUAAGUCUGAUGUGAAAGCCCACGGCUCAACCGUGGAGGGUCAUUGGAAACUGGAAAACUUGAGUGCAGAAGAGGAAAGUGGAAUUCCAUGUGUAGCGGUGAAAUGCGCAGAGAUAUGGAGGAACACCAGUGGCGAAGGCGACUUUCUGGUCUGUAACUGACGCUGAUGUGCGAAAGCGUGGGGAUCAAACAGGAU